UAGACUGACUGUGUGAUUAUGUAUGAAAUCAAAAUCAAAUUUUUUCUCAGUUUCAUUCUCAAAUAUCUUAGUUCUGAUCUCAUAUAGUUUUCAUUUGAUCUCAUUUUGUAAAAUGGAAUCAAACAGAACAAUGAUUUACUCUAUAUAGAUUAGCAGCGAGGGAUAGCUUAGCAGUGAGGGAUAGCUUAGCAGUGAGGGAUAGCUUAGCAGUGAGGGAUAGCUUAGCAGUGAGGGAUAGCUUAGCAGCGAGGGAUAGAUUGGCAGCGAUAAAUAGCUUAGCAGCGAGGGAUAGCUUAGCAAGAUUGGCAGCAGUAGCUGGUAGAUAGACUAAGGCUGGCCGGUGGGACCAUGAAUUUCAUGUUUGAUUUGGUUUGGUUUGGUUCCAGUCCAUUUCUUGGUGUGAUUUCCAGUGGGACCAUGAUUAGAAUGGG
rnacentral:sRNA from 1 species